rnacentral:lncRNA from 1 species
UGAUUCACAGUGUGUCUAAAGAGGUGAAUUGGGCACACAAAACCCAACCUCCUCUUGCCAGGGUGGGUAUGAAAUAUGAAAGCUAGACGAUUGUCUGGGCUCAGUGCAUUGGAAUAACAUUGGUUAAAUUAUGGAUAGUUUUUGAAUAGUGUCACUUUUUUUUUCUCUGCAGAUGGUUGUUCACACAAGGAGCCGGGUCUGCAUAAUUGUAUCACUAAUCAGCAGUAAGGCAAUUAGUUGUGAUGAGAAAAACAGGAAUAAUCUCUGGGAGAAUUCCCAUGCAUUGUGGAAUCUUGGACAGACAGUCAAACUGGAGGUGCCAUUAAGUGGUGUCUAAUUGGAGCCUGUUGAAGGAGGGGAGUCACAAGGGACGAUUCUCUGGGCUCACAGGCAGCUUGGGCAUGCAUAUGCCUGUGAAGAAAUAAUUCAGAGAAGUACCCAGGAAAGUGAGCUCCCUACUAGGGCCUGAGGGCAGGGCUUCUCCCUACAGGCAGGUGGGGCUUUAGGGAUAGUGGACGGAGCCAGGUUCCUCAGAGAGAGCCCAGCAGACAGGAGGGACACCCAAGGUGCUUCCAGUGUCCCCUUGCCCCUAAAUGUAGCCCAUGUUCCUUGUCUUUACCACCUCAGCUUAACUGCUAAAGAGAUGGGAUUGAAAUGGAAGGAAAAACGGGGACGUGAAUUUGCAGUUAUCUUCACCCUCUGCAAAGCACCAUCUAUGAUGCUACCUCUUAGCUGCUACAUUGAAGAUGCUACAAAGGAUAAUUUUAUUUAGGAUCAAUUUUAAAAGUUACAAGGAUGUCAUUAAUUCAUAUUUCAGUUUUCCAUAUUUCAAUUCUCUUUUCAAGCACCUUAUCAUUCCCCUUGAAAUGGAGUGUGGACAC